rnacentral:rRNA from 1 species
CCAAGAGUCCACAUCGACGGGGAGGUUUGGCACCUCGAUGUCGGCUCAUCACAUCCUGGGGCUGUAGUAGGUCCCAAGGGUUGGGCUGUUCGCCCAUUCAAGUGGUACGCGAGCUGGGUUCAGAACGGCGUGAGACAGUUCGGUCCCUAUCCGUCGCAGGCGUAGGAAAUUUGAGAAGACCUGUCCUUAGUACGAGAGGACCGGGAUGGACGUACCUCUGGUGUACCAGUUGU